UUGGAGGAAAAAAGGAGGGAUCGUAAGACCUCGCGUUAUUGGAGCGGCCGAUGUCGGAUUAGCUAGUUGGUGGGGUAAAAGCUCACCAAGGCGACGAUCCGUAGCUGGUCUGAGAGGACGACCAGCCACACUGGGACUGAGACACGGCCCAGACUCCUACGGGAGGCAGCAGUGGGGAAUUUUGGACAAUGGGGGAAAGCCUGAUCCAGCCAUGCCGCGUGAGUGAAGAAGGCCUUCGGGUUGUAAAGCUCUUUCGCAAGGAAAGAAAACUUACCCUCUAAUACUAGGUGAGGUUGACGGUACCUUGAUAAGAAGCACCGGCUAACUACGUGCCAGCAGCCGCGGUAAUACGUAGGGUGCGAGCGUUAAUCGGAAUUACUGGGCGUAAAGCGUGCGCAGGCGGUUUUGUAAGUCAGAUGUGAAUCCCCGCUCAACCUGUUCCA
rnacentral:rRNA from 1 species